rnacentral:rRNA from 1 species
UACGAAGGGGGCUAGCGUUGUUCGGAAUCACUGGGCGUAAAGGGUGCGUAGGCGGGUCUUUAAGUCAGGGGGGAAAUCCUGGAGCUCAACUCCAGAACUGCCUUUGAUACUGAAGAUCUUGAGUUCGGGAGAGGUGAGUGGAACUGCGAGUGUAGAGGUGAAAUUCGCAGAUAUUCGCAAGAACACCAGUGGCGAAGGCGGCUCACUGGCCCGAUACUGACGCUGAGGCACGAAAGCGUGGGGAGCAAACAGG